AAAAGGACUAGAGAAAUAGAAAUAAGAGAGUCAGUGCCAAGCUGCUGGUUCCAAGGUGACAUAUCCUUGUCUUUCUGAUCCAGAAACUGAAAACUUACUAAUGUCACCCAGAAAUGAGAAAGCUAUGAGAGUCAUAUCAGAACUUCUUUGCUACACAGAGAUGGUACAUAGGGACAUGGAGUACAAAGGCUGCCAACUCAUGCCUUCCCACACAACUGUCUUUCCCUGCACUGUCAUGGAAAGAAGUGCCAAACGUAACGGAAAUAACAGAGGAUGCUGUGUUGGGAUGUGCACAAUGUGA
rnacentral:lncRNA from 1 species